GCCUAAGCAAGCGGCUCAAGAGCCUGGUUACAAAGUUUCCUAGGUGUUUUGUUAGUUUGUUUUUGUAUUUUAUUUUUUUUAUUAUUAUUAUUUUUGAGAAGUCUCUUACCCAGGCUGGAGCGCAGUGGCAUGAUCUUGGCUCACUGCAAUCUCCGCCUCCUGAGUUCAAGUGAUUCUCUGGCCUCAGCCUCCCAAGUAGCUGGGAUUACAGAGUCUUGCUCUGUUGCUCAGGCUGGACUGCAAUGGCGUGAUCUUGGCUCACCGCAACCUCCACCUCCUGGGUUCAAGCGAUUCUCCUGCCUCAGCCUCCCGAGUAGCUGGGAUUACAGGUG
rnacentral:lncRNA from 1 species